ensembl:scaRNA
UUGUCCUGGCCUCUGCUUUUUCUACUCCCCUCUGUUUUUUCAGCCCCUCCGGUGCUCAGUUCUAAUAAGGUAGUAUGGCAGGACACACAGCAGUCUCCUUCAGUUUAGGAGGGCUGUCUUUAGAAUAGAGCUGUCUUUUAAAGGCACGAGAGUACAAU